GAUGAAGAACGUAGCGAAAUGCGAUACGUAAUGUGAAUUGCAAAUUCAGUGAAUCAUCGAGUCUUUGAACGCACAUUGCGCCCCCUGGUAUACCGGGGGGCAUGCCUGUCCGAGCGUCAUUGCUGCCCUCAAGCACGGCUUGGGUGUUGGGCCCCGUCCUCCGAUCCCGGGGGACGGGCCCGAAAGGCAGCGGCGGCACCGCGUCCGGUCCUCGAGCGUAUGGGGCUUUGUCACCCGCUCUGUAGGCCCGGCCGGCGCUUGCCGAUCAACCCAAAUUUUUAUCCAGGUUGACCUCGGAUCAGGUAGGGAUACCCGCUGAACUUAAGCAUAUCAAUAAGCGGAGGA
rnacentral:misc_RNA from 1 species